UUCUGCAUUCUCAUCAGCUAAAACACCAUGGAAGGGUUUCUUCAAGCUGGUUCUUCAUAUUUUUACUGCAAGUAAGUUCAAUUCUUGAUCAUUUCUUGAAAUUUUUGUAUUUUUAUGACUUUUACAACUAGGCCCACUUGUUGAAUUCAUUAGUUUUUGAUUUUAUAAAAGAAGUUGAAAGUUGAAAGUUGAUAUGAAUAUGUGCUGGAAGUAUAUGAUGAUUUAGCAUGAAAUUAGAGCUUUAAAUUGUUCAUAUGCUGAUUUUAUUGAAAGAAUUGAAUAGAAAGUGAAUGUUUGGGACCUAAUAGUAAAAGAGUUUGAAGUUAGAGCUAUAUGUGGAAAUUCUGAAUUUCAAUAGUUUUGAAAUAACUUAUAAUGUCUAGGUAAAGUAUUAAUUGAGAGAAUUAGAUCAAUUGAGGGGUUAAUUGAGAAAGAACUAAAUUGUAUAAACUGUGAAAUUUGAGGCAAAAUAGAAAUCAACAUUUUGCACUAAAACAGUUUUGGACAGUAGCAGCAGUCUAACUUUGAAAAAUCACCAAAAAUUGUAGAGAUUGAAUUAGAGGGUGAAUAAAAUAUUAAAUUAAAGCUUAUUGAGUCUAGUUUCUUAUAAAAGAAAAGGUGUAAGCAAUGGAAUUGUGAAUCAUGAGAUAUAGUGGAUUUUGUGAGACAAGGUCAGAAUGAAUUCGGGUUCCCCUGUUCUGACUUUGGAAAAUCAUUAAAAAUUUUAAAAAAAUGAUUAUAAGUUAUAAUUUAUAUGGUUAGAAUCCUUAAUGAGUCUAUUUUCAUAAUAAAUAAACGGAAACAUUAUCCGAAUUCUGUACAGUGAGAAAAUUAAUUUUUAGUGAAGAGUGGUCGGAACUGUCAGACAGCAAAACAGGGGACACUUUAAAGAAUAAACUGUACUAUUUUGAUAAACCAAAAAUUCUGAAAAUUUUAUGGUAAGAAGAUAUGUGAAUCUAGUUUUAGGGAAAAUUUACGGAUCUUAAUUUGGAGCUCUGUAGCUCCGGAUAAAAAUAAUUUAGUGACUCUGACUCGGAUAAACAGUUUUGAAUAUACAUGUGAGUGAAUAGUGAAAUUAUAGUUAAUGUUGUUUAAGUGUAUUAUACACAUUAAGGAUGUGGAAUGGAGAGGAGGAGGAGGAAAAUUAGGGAAAUGUAUGAAUGAUUUGUGUAUAAUUGGUCAUAUGCAUGAUUAUAAUUGAUAAACGAUAAAAUAGAAAUGAUGCUUAUAUUUGUGCAUUAUUGGAUAUGGUUUAAGCUCAUGUAUGAAAAUAAAGUUUCAUAGUACGAGUGAAUAGUAUAUUUGGUAUAUGAUUGGGCAUGAAGUAAUGUCUUGAAUGGUUUAUGAAUUAACAUCUGUUGGUAAAUGUGGCACAUUAAUAAAUGUUGUGCUCAUCCAUGCUUAUAAUGCUUAUGUUAUAUGUGUAUUUGGCUAACAUAUUUGGUAUACAUGCUUAGGCUUUGGCCAAGUAGUGGCUGAAUUAUGUCACGUUAAAUUUAUAAGUUAUGCAUUGAAAUGUGAUUAUUGAAUAGAAAUUGAAAUGGUUUGAAUUGAAUUAUUGAAUUAAACUUGAAUAUUGAAAUUGGUGAUUGAUAUGAAUUUUAUUGGAAUUGAAACUGAGAAAGUGGAAAUUGAUAUGUGAGACUGAUACUGAACUGAAUUACGGAAUACUGAAUAUUGUUAUGUAUAUUGCAUUGAAUUGUGAAAUUACUGAAGUAAUAAAUUGUUGUAAUACUGUGAAACUGACUGAAAUAAGUAAUUUAUAAUUGAUACUGAACUAAGAUGAAAAAUUGUACUGAAAGUGAAUUAAAUACCCUAUUAACUCGUUGGGUUAGUCGGAUAUAGUUGGCAUGCCAUAGGAUAUGGAAGAGUACGGGGUAAUUGCCGGCUUACUGAUUAGGCACUUAUGUGCCGACUACUGUUACUGUUACUGAUUCGGCACUUUGUGUGUCGAAUACUGUUACUGUUACCGACUCGGCACUUUGUGUGUCGAGUACUGUUACCGUUACUGUUACAGAUUCAGCACUUUGUGUGUUGAAUACUGUUACUACUACCGUUACUAAUUACUGUAUACUGGUAUGUUUGGUUGGAAUCCGUGUAUCCGUCGAGUCCGAGUCAAGUUAAUAGGGGCAAAUGAAAUAAAGUUAUUGAUAAAACUAAAUCUGAAUGAUAAGACAUAUGUGAAAAGUGAAAUUUGAAAUAAAGAAAUAAGAAUGAUAGUUAUAUAUAAUUAGUUGAUAAUAUUAAAAGAUUGAAUUAUUUAUUAGUAGUGAUAAUUGUAAUGAAAAGUAUGUGUGUGAAUUAAUGUCAGAUAAUGAUAAAUUUUAUGAAAUAUAUUUUGAUAAUAUAAAAUGAUGUAAAAAUGAGAAGUGAAAAUGAAAUAAUUUGAAAUAGUGAAAUAAUAUUUGAAUUUAAUUGAAUACAAGUUAUUGAAAAAUAUUUAUGGAUUUAGUGUAUGAAGUGAGUAUUUAAAGACUCUAACUGUAAAUUGAUUAUAAAAAAAACGAAUUGACAAUGGAAAUUGAUGACGGAUAAAUUAUUAAAAUGGAAUGGGAAAUUGAAAUGAAUGUGUAACAGCCUAAUUUUUAGUAGUGUCAGAGCAGUGAUUUGAGAUAACUAAAUUCGAUGAAAAAGUUAGAAAAAAAAUAUUAAUUAAUAAUUAUAAGUUAAGCGUAAUUUUAGAAAUAUUUUUGAAUUAGUGAUUUUUGUGAUUUACAAGAAAUUAUGAGGUAAAUUGGGUCGAAAAUGAGGUAUCGAGACCUCGAUAUUAUAAAAUGAGCCGUAAAUAUUUUUAUAAAUAUUUAUGGAGUGUCAUUAGGGUAGUAUUAAAGUUUCAUUAAGAAAUUUUAAUGUUUUAAUGGUUAAUUGAUUAAAAGGACUAAAUUACAAUAGGGGUAAAAGUUAAAUAAUAGAUUAAAGAAAAGUUAAAAGGACUAAAUAAGUAAAUAUGCCAAGUCCCAUAAAUGAGGCGGCAUAUGCAUGAUAAAAUCUGAGAUUUUUUUUAGUAUAUUAUUAUUUUAUUAUAUUGUAAAUUGUAUUAAUUAUAUUAUAUUAUUAUAUUUCAAAUAAACAAAAUUGUUGAUAACUGCAUGGUGUAUAUGAUGACAUGUGGAAAAAUGAAAUACAUAAGUAAUGAUUACAUAUUUCCUUAUUAUUUAAGUAAGUAAUAUUAUAUUAUUAUUUUAUUGUUAUUAUAUUAAACUAACUAAAUAAAAGAAAUAAAAAGAUGGAAAAAGAGAAAUGGAAACAGAAUAGGCAAACGAUAACAGGGGAGAAAGGAAAGCAAAAGAAAAAGGGAAGCAAAGGAAGAAAAUUUGGGAUUUCAAGAUUCCAAGCUCAAUGGGUAAGUUAAAUUAAGUCCUUUUUUAUAAUUUUUGAGUUUUUGGUAUCCUAGAACAAAGUAUUAUUGGAUUUAUGUUGAAAUUAGGGGUUAAAUUGAUUAAAUUUCAAGUUAGAAGUUAGUAAAAGGUUGAUUUGUAAAAUAAAUUAUAGGCUUUGAAUUAAUAGGGACUAAAUUGAGAGAAUUUUAAAAUUAGGGAUUUAUGGUGAAAAUGAAGAGUUAAAGUGAAUUUAUAGUAAGAAUUAAGAGAGAAUAUAGAGUUAGAAUGGGAAAAUAAAAUUAGUAUUGAUAAGGGAUUAAAUUGGAAUUUGGGUAAAGUUUAGGUAUAAAAGGAAAUAUUUUAAGAAAAUUGUGUAUUAAUGAUUUUUAAUUGUUUAAUUACGUAGCUAAUGUCAUGCAAGAGUCAUUGUCCGAGAAAGGAAAUGAGAAGGUGAACAAGGAGUGACUCGAGAAAAUUUACGGUUAGUAUUACCAUAAUUCGAAUUUAAUUAUUAAUUGUUAAAAUUUAAAUUAAUAUACAUGAUAAACAAAUUGAAGUAAGUAUCAUGAUUGAAUUGAAUGAUAAAUAAAUAUUGAUAUUGAAUUUAUUAAUAGCAAUUGUUGAAAUUUGAAUAAUAUGUUUAGUAAAUAAAAAUAAGGUGAAUAUCGAUAUUGAAUUAAAUGAUAUUGAAUUGUAUGUGAAUUGAAUGAAAUUAAAAUGAAGUAUGAAUAUGUAUGAGCAAUUGAAAAAUGUAUUGAAUUAAAUUGUGAUUAAAUUGGAAUUGAAAGUAUGAGAAAGUGAUUGAAUUGAAAUGUGAUUCGAAUACCCUAUUAACUUAUCGGACUAGAUUGGAUACAAAUGGCAUGCCAUAGGAUUUGUGAUGUGAUGAGGAGAUUUGUAGCUCGGCCGAGAAGAUGAUUAUGUUAUUAUAUGCUUCGGUUUAUCCGAAGAGGCAUUUAAUGUCUUAUUGUUGUGUUUGGGAGGAUAUGAUAUAUUGGUGUGUUAUGGAGGAUUUAUAUUUAUUUCGGGUGUGUUUUGGUUGGAUAUUCUAGUGUGUUUGGAUGGAAUCCGCGUAUCUGUCAGAGUCCGAGUCAAGUUAAUAGGGGCAAAUGAAUAAUUUUGAUAAUAUAAAUUUUAUUGAAUGAUCUUGAAUAUGAAUCGAAAAGAGAUAGUAAAUUGAGAUAUAGAAAAUGAAAUGUAUAAACUAUGGGUUCAAGAAAUAGAUAAUGAUAUAGUUCAUGAAGUGGUUUUGGUAGUAUGAGAUAAUGUAAAAAAAAAAAAAAAUAUAAGUGAAUAAAAGCAAAUUAAAAUAGCUAUUGUUAAGAAAUGAGAAGUGAAAAUAAAAUGAUUUGAAAUAGUGAAAUAAUAUGUGAAUUUAAUUGAAUACAAGUUAUUGAAAUUUAUUUAUGAAUUUAAUGAAUAAAUUGAGUGUUAAAAUAUUUUUAGUGUAAAUUGAUUAUAAUGAACAAAUCGAAUUAAAAGAUAGUUAUUAUUGUUGUUGUUGUUGUUGAAACAAGUUGAUUUAAUGUAUUAAAUGUUUAUUGAAAAAUUAAUGGUAUAAAUUGAAUUAAGAAAUAGUGUAUGAGUUAAUUUGAAUACAAUUUUAUAAAAUUAGUUAUUAUAAUUGUUGUUGUUGAAAAAUCCAAUAAAAUUUAGAUAGUGAAUAAGGUAUGAAUACAAUUAAGUAUAAGAUUGAAAUAUUGCUUAUUAUUAUUAAUUAUCAUGUUAAUUUAAAGUACGAGAUAAUUAAUGAAUAAUUGUAGACAUAAAUUUAAAUGUGUAUAAUUUAUCGAUUAAUGUUAUUAAUUUGAAUUAUGGUAAUACCACUGAGUAUUCCUAUACUCAGCGUACGAUUGUUUUCGUGCGCAGGUUAGUAGAAAGUCAGUGUCCGGUCCAGCAUCCAGAGUAAUCCUGACCUCAGAGAAAUUUUAGUGAUGUACCUUUGUUUGAUAAUGUGGCAUGUACCUAGGUGAUGUAUAGGUUAAGUAUAAAAGUUUUGUUAUUACGGUUGUAGAAUAAUGUUUAAACUAGUUAUAAGUUAUUUGAUAUAUCCGGUAAUGCUCCGUAACCCUAUUCUGGCGACGGUUUAGGGUUAAGGGGUGUUACAGAAUGUGAAAUAAUUACUAAAAAACUAAUGUUGUAAGGUUUAGAUAUGAAAUAGAAUAAGUUAUUGAAUUGAGAAUUUCAUAAACGUGUUAAUGAAUGGUAUAGUCUAUAAACAUUGAAUUAAAUGGUAAUUACGUAUUAGUAUUAAACUUAGUGACAUUGAAUUGUACGUGAAUUAAAUGGAAAAUUGCUAGUGAUAUGAUUUAAAUUGUGAGCAUGAGAAAUUGCAAAUUGAAUUAAAUGGAAAUGAAACAUUGACUUGCA
rnacentral:lncRNA from 1 species